rnacentral:sRNA from 1 species
CAUGAUCUAUGAUGAAAUUCAUGGCUUCGCAUUGACAGCAAUGAAUCCUUUCUUUGAUGAUUCCAGCUCGAAGGAUCAUG